ACAUCAACUCAAACUCAAAUCAACCUGGCCUAUUUUUUAAAUGGGCGACACAGAUCAAAUUAUACUACCAUCUUAAUAAACAAAGCCAAGUUUGGGUUCAAAUUGGAGGCCGCUAAAGUAAAUUGGUACAUCCCAUAGCCAACAUGAACCGGACAGGGCCGGGAGCCAUUGCGCCCAGAUCUGGGGGCAUCCUGCCGCCCCCAAAAUUCCGGCGCUGGCCGGCAAAAAAAAACUCUCCUUUGAGAGAUCAAUCAUUCCAUCCAUCGAAUUCAUCGUAAUCUCCCGCUCUUUCCUUUCAAUUCUUGCCGCCUUCUUUGCCUUGACGAUGAACUGUAAAAGCUCGGGAGUGAAGAGAAAUAGGGGAGUAAUAGCGAGCGAGAGCCGGAGGAGGAGGUGACGAUGCUCGGGAUGCGGCGGGGUUCCCCUCUCCAUCACGUGGAGUCGGAACGUUCUCCCUCCAAACUCCCCAAAGACGACGCCCUCUCCGUCUACGAGGCUACACUUCAAAAGCUAAGAGAUGGUUCUCACCGUGCUUUUGCAUCUGUUGAGGGCAUGAGGUGUGAGACGAUAUCUUAUUCUGGGAAUGCUUGUUCAAAAGGCGGCAAUAAUCGAUCCUCUGUCAAUCCAGAACGAGCAGACACAAACAAUGCUUGAGAUCGAACUGCUUCUAUUGGUAUGCAUGAGCUCAUGUUGUCUGUUCAUUAGAUUUGUAAUAAAAGACUUUUUUUAUUUGUAACAUAGACAGUGGCAUGUUGCCUUGCAUAUGGCCAGUACAAUGUUGUGGCCUGUAGUCAUUCUCCCUAGCCACUGGCUGGAUUCAGAUUUCAAAGACUGAUGUUUUGUAACAUUUUUAGGAGUAGACUUAAGUUUACAAAAUGACGAACAAAUUUGAUUUAUUAUGAAACACAAGUUGACUGGAGAACAAAA